rnacentral:lncRNA from 1 species
CGUUUAUGUAAUAGCAUAUUUUAAGAAAUAACUCCGUAUAUAUUACAUAAGACUAAGGUAGUUCGAAUACUUUCUAUAUAUUCGAAAUCUGUAUAUAGAAUAGAACAGAAAAGAAUAUUUCAUUUUCCAAAAUAACAUAGUCUAUAAAGAGCAUACAAAUCACGACCAACCAGUAAUGGUGCGAGCUACUGGUGAUACCCCCUCCCAAAUAUUUCGGUAAACAGGAAAUUGUUGAGAUGUGAAUCUGAAAAAAGCAUCACACAGUAUAACUGACUUAUAUAAACCUUGAAACCAAAUUUCAGAAAUCAUUGUAUUGUAGUUUCUGAGAAAAAUAGGACGAAAAUGCUCAACUUAGCUCUCAUGUAAAAAGUGUCCGGUAAACAGAAAGUUGUUGAGUUAAGAAUAUGAAAAUGCAUCGCGUGAGAUAAACCCGACUUCAAUAAACCCUGACACCAAAUUUCAGAAAUCCUUGUAAUGUUUUUUCAUGAAAAAGAAGCAACGAAAAUAUUCACGUGGCGGACGGACGAACUGACGGAUGGACGGAUGACGGAUGGACGGACGGACGGACAGAGGUAACACAGUAUACUCCCCAGAACUAACACAUUGAUAUGAAACAACAGUCAGUAUCAAGAC